rnacentral:rRNA from 1 species
AAUCAACGCUGGCGGCGUGCCUCAGACAUGCAAGUCGAACGCUGCUGUUCGCCUUCGGGUGACAGCGGAGUGGCGCACGGGUGAGUAACACGUAGGUAAUCUACCUUUGGGUGGGAAUAACAGCCGGAAACGGCUGCUAAUACCGCAUAAUGCAGCGGCAUCACAUGAUGACAGUUGUUAAAGCGAGGGAUCGUAAGACCUCGCGCCUGAAGAGGAGCCUGCGGCAGAUUAGGUAGUUGGUGAGGUAAUGGCUCACCAAGCCUGCGAUCUGUAACCGGCCUGAGAGGGCGGUCGGUCACACUGACACUGACAUACGGGUCAGACUCCUACGGGAGGCAGCAGUCGGAAUUUUGGCAAUGGGCGCAAGCCUGACCCAGCAACA